GGGGGAACAGUUAAGACAACCUGAACAGUGGUGGAAGCUGAAUUAGCGAGGAUGACUCCUGCUCCUGUCAUCUCUAAGCUCCUCAUACAUCUUUACCUGCACAUGAGGAAAAUCACUCCUGUAGAAUGCAGAUGUUCAGAGGGAGAUGAUGCCACAUCUGGUCCAGCUGAUGGAAGGUCUUGAAGUUCUCUGACUGGCCUCGACUGAAGAUGGUCGUCUCACUGGAUUUAAGGUUCAGAUGCUCAGUAACAAACUCCACCAAUGUGCCAACAGGGAAGCUUUAGGUUUAUUAAAUGUUGCUAUGAAGGUAUUGCUGUUUUUCUUUGUGAAUGCAAUGUGCUCCAACUGAAAGUUGAAUUAGAACUUAGAAGUAAAUCCUUCCAUCUGAAAGGAUUUAGUUGCAUUAAUAACCUCAUAACAUUCUAAUUUUUAUUCCAGUCUUAGUUGGAAAUAGAAUCUCUGUAUUGAUUCAGGUAAAAACUGAACUUCACAGCAUGAUGGAGCAAAACACCCAGAUGAAAACUGUGAUGGUGUUGGAUUGUCAGACCGUAAUGUUGCAGCUCAAAGCAGCUUUUCUAGCUCAGUUCAUUCUGACAUUCAGCUAUGAAUCAACACAGCAGAUGGUGAUCCAUGCUGUGGAAGUCUCACAUCUCCUGAUUUAAUGGAGCUGCUUUGCACUUUUUACACUGUUUAUUCACCAACACUUUAUUUAAUAAAAGUCCUAUCUAGUUUUUAUGAGGAAAGUGAUGUUUUAAUUUCUCUGUGAAUAACUGCAGUCUAAUGAACAGCUGGAGUUGUAACAUCUGUCCUGAUAUUGAUCAUGAAGUAUUGAUCAGAAUACUUAUGGUCAGCAGUCAUCCCUGAAGUUUUACAUUGAAAUCUUUACUUGUGUUGUGAACUUUGGUAAGAAGCAGAAACGUUAGCGUUGCCAUGGAUACAUGAGUGUUAAAUUCUGUCCAUGUUUCCAUUUUGGGAAAUGCAGUCCAGUUCCAGAAUGUGGAGGAAUUUAGUCUCAAUCACAGACAACAAAUAUUAUCUGAAAGUCGAGUUAUUGUUGUUUAUCAGCACAAUACAAAAAUAUUCAUGUUAGACAUAUUCCAGUUAAGACUCUAGAAUAUUAUGAUUUAUGUAAAUUUACCUCAAUAAUAUGAAUGUUCAGGUUAAGAUUGUACAGUGAUAUUUAUUAUGUAAGUUUAGCUGAUUAAACAAAUGACUCUGCACUAAAAUAUUACUUAAAUUUACAUCAUUAUUAUAGUAUUUAGGGUCAGACCCUACAGUAUUGCGAUUAAGAAAUCAAAUAUUUUAUAAAAUGUAAAUACACUGAACUCAUUUGGAUAUAUUUAAGUGAGACUCUACAAUAUUAUUUUACACAAAUCUAUCUAAAUCAAAAUUUUAAUAAUUUUCACGCCAAACAUUUACUGGACUGAUUUAAAUAUUAAAAUCACUCCUUUCUAAUCCUCUGCUGUACGUUGAAACCUGAGGCCUUAAAUAGAAACACACAAGUAUCUGAUUGAAGGAACUUCUGCAGAGUCCUGGUUCCAGAACAUGAUGAUAGAAUUAUAGACAAACUUUAACAAAAGCUGACUGAGAGUUUACAGGUUUUUGUUAGAUUUCUUCAGUAAUUUAAUGAGAGUUAUCAGCAAAAAUCAAGUGUUCAUUUGAUGAACUUCAUUUCCUAAAACAUCCAGAAUUGGAGCUCAUAUCUUUGGCAGCUGUAAAGUUUCUGCUCCUUCAAAGUUCACAACACAAUGAAUUAAUUCCUAAAACACUCUCAAUGCUGGAGAGUGUUUGUGAUGCUGAAGCAGUGACCAGUUUUUCUGUUUCUUCUCUGGAGAUGCACAAUGAGGGACGUCUGCAGAGACUGAGAAAGAGUCUCACCACAUCCUGACAUGAGGAAAAAGACUUUAUUGAAGACUACAGUGAGAAAAACUAUCAGACAGCAGACGGCUGCAUUCAAGGUGAGCUCUGAACAUUUGAUCUGGAACAGGAAUUCAAUAACGGCAGCAUGAGCUUCAUUUCAGUCUGUAGCUGCUGAAUUCAUGGAUGAAUCAUCUGGCACUAGAGAGGAAGACCAUCAAACAUCCACAUCAGCUGAUGGAGGUCCAAGAGUCUCACCAAACAACCAACCUACAGAGUGAAGACCUCGAAUCUGAUUGGACGGCCUCCUGUUCAGCCACGUGUGAACAAAUGCCUCUAAGCUGAUUUGUUUUCUAAAAUAAGUCUAGUUUGAGUCCUAAUCUAUGCCUGUGUGUUUGCUUCUUUACACUGCUGUUAACAGUUAAGGCUGUUAGAUUGUUCCAGAUAAGACGAGUACAAAAUUCUUCAGAGCUGUUCUACCACGAGCCUGACAGGAAGAACUCCAACAGCUAUGGAAUGUUCCUGUGUUCCUACAGUAGUGAAUUUUAGGUGGAAUAUACCAUUGAACUCAACUUUUAGGUCUACAUUGGAGGAUUUUAGGUGGAAUUUUCGUCCAAACCUCUUUUAGUCUACAUUUAAGGAUGUUUAGGAUGGUAUAUUCUUCCAAACCAACUUCUCAGGUCUACAUUUCAGGUGGAAUAUUCCUCCAUACUAACUUUUUUGGUCUACAUUGAAGGAUUUUUUCUAAACCACCCUUUCGGGUCUAUAUUUGGGGUUUUAGGUGGAAUAUUCCUUUUAACCAGCCCCUCAGGUCUCUUUGAGGAUUUUGGAUGGAAUACUCGGUUAAACCAACAUUUUAGGUGCAUGUCCAAGGAUUUUUGGUGGAAUGUUCCUAUAAGGUGGAUGUUUGAGGACCUUGUAGGUGGAAUACUUCCUGAAACCAACCUUUUAGGUCAACAUUCAAAGAUUUAAGGUGGAAUAUUCCUUUAAACCAACCUAAAUUUCAUGUUUUGAUCAUUAUCAAGUGAGAAACCUCAAUCCAGAUUCCUCAUAAUGACAUUUGAGAUUUAUGCUGCUGUUAUUUGUUUAGUCCAGACUAAAUGACAGAAAUCCACAACUGUAAUUUUAUUUCAGGACUCCGUUAUUAAAUGUCAAAACAAUCCAUGUGACUCUAAAAACUCAACAGCUGUACAAACUCUAAGAUUAAACUCUCCACAAGGAUUCAAAAUAAGUUGGACUUCUACAUGAGAGCUUUAAUUAUUC
ensembl:lncRNA